GAUGAACGCUAGCGGCAGGCCUAAUACAUGCAAGUCGAACGGUGUCUUCGGACAUAGUGGCGCACGGGUGCGUAACACGUAUGCAACCUACCUUACAUUGGGGGAUAGCCUUUCGAAAGGGAGAUUAAUACCGCAUAAGACAGUAGCUGGGCAUCCAGCAGCUGUUAAAGAUUUAUCGAUGUAAGCUGGGCAUGCGUCCAAUUAGCUAGUUGGUGAGGUAACGGCUCACCAAGGCAAUGAUUGGUGGGGGAACUGAGAGGUCAAUCCCCCACACUGGCACUGAGAUACGGGCCAGACUCCUACGGGAGGCAGCAGUAGGGAAUAUAGGGCAAUGGACGCAAGUCUGACCCAGCCAUGCCGCGUGCAGGAUGAAGGCGUUAUGCGUUGUAAACUGCUUUUAUACAGGAAGAAACGACUCUUGCGAGAGGCAUUGACGGUACUGUAUGAAUAAGCACCGGCUAACUCCGUGCCAGCCGCCGCGGUAAAAC
rnacentral:rRNA from 1 species